UACGAAGGGGGCUAGCGUUGCUCGGAAUUACUGGGCGUAAAGCGCACGUAGGCGGCUUCUUAAGUCGGUGGUGAAAUCCUGGAGCUCAACUCCAGAACUGCCUUUGAUACUGAGAAGCUUGAGUCCGGGAGAGGUGGGUGGAACUGCGAGUGUAGAGGUGAAAUUCGUAGAUAUUCGCAAGAACACCAGUGGCGAAGGCGGCUCACUGGCCCGGUACUGACGCUGAGGUGCGAAAGCGUGGGGAGCAAACAGG
rnacentral:rRNA from 1 species